AUUAAAGAAAGCAGACAUGUUGUUUCUUCUGUCUCAUGUUUUGAAAAAGAAUUAAAUAAUGGAGUUAUUUGUAUAAUGCAGUAAAUCACUCAAUGGAGAGACAGGUUUUGUGAAGAUGUAUUGUUGUGUAUUGUAACUUGUGUGUGAUCAAGUCCAUAAUAUGGUCACUAUUCUGUUGACAGUUUAACAGUACUUCAUUCACAGUUUUGGCUGAGAUAAUGUCAUGCAUAGUCAUAUAGACUAUUUAGACAAUAUAGAGAUGUGAAUAUAUAGAAUGUGAUACAAUUGAUAAAUAAUUAAAAAGGACAU